UCGGGAUAGCUCAGCCGGUAGAGCAGAGGACUGAAA
rnacentral:tRNA from 6 species